GGAUACCUCAGUUGGUGGAGCAUGAGACUCUUAAUCUUAGGGUCAUGGGUUCAAGCCCCACGUUGGGCA